CGGCGUGCCUAACACAUGCAAGUCGAGCGGGGUUAUUGGGGUUCAGCUUGCUGAACGCCACUGACCCAGCGGCGGACGGGUGAGUAACGCGUGAGCAAUCUGCCUCAUACAGGGGGAUAACAGGCGGAAACGCCUGCUAAUACCGCAUAAGACCACGCCACCGCAUGGUGGAGCGGUCAAAGGGUGGACAGACGAGAGGCUGUGCAUACCGGUAUGAGAUGAGCUCGCGUCCCAUUAGCUUGUUGGUGAGGUAACGGCUCACCAAGGCGACGAUGGGUAGCCGGCCUGAGAGGGCGACCGGCCACACUGGGACUGAGACACGGCCCAGACUCCUACGGGAGGCAGCAGUGGGGAAUAUUGCACAAUGGGCGAAAGCCUGAUGCAGCGACGCCGCGUGAGGGAUGACGGCCUUCGGGUUGUAAACCUCUUUCAGCAGGGAAGAAGCGAAAGUGACGGUACCUGCAGAAGAAGCACCGGCUAACUACGUG
rnacentral:rRNA from 1 species